rnacentral:rRNA from 1 species
CCUACGUGCGGCAGCAGUGGGGAAUAUUGGACAAUGGGCGAAAGCCUGAUCCAGCCAUGCCGCGUGUGUGAAGAAGGCCUUCGGGUUGUAAAGCACUUUCAGUGGGGAAGAAAGCCUUGGGGCUAAUACCCUCGAGGAAGGACAUCACCCACAGAAGAAGCACCGGCUAACUCCGUGCCAGCAGCCGCGGUAAUACGGAGGGUGCGAGCGUUAAUCGGAAUUACUGGGCGUAAAGCGCGCGUAGGCGGUCUGAUAAGCCGGUUGUGAAAGCCCCGGGCUCAACCUGGGAACGGCAUCCGGAACUGUCAGGCUAGAGUGCAGGAGAGGAAGGUAGAAUUCCCGGUGUAGCAGUGAAAUGCGUAGAGAUCGGGAGGAAUACCAGUGGCGAAGGCGGCCUUCUGGACUGACACUGACGCUGAGGUGCGAAAGCGUGGGUAGCAAACAGGAUUAGAUACCCGAGUAGUC